AAUUAAUAAAAUGCUCCGCAGGGCGCAGCUUGAUACGACUGCAGAGGUCGAACCCUGAACAGUUGGGGCAAGUAUGGACACAACAUUCAAGCUUGAUACAGCUCUGAAUUUGGAUUGUGAUUAAAUAUUUGACACAGCAUAGGUUUCUAACACAGAUUGAAUGUGGUCUAAGAACUUAAAAAUUUUAAAUUGGACAUUCACCUAUUAUGGUCCAAUAUCCAAAAUCUAAAUACAUGGUUAGAUUCAGCAUAUCAAAGAACCCCAAGAAUUCAAUUUUUGAUGAAAUCAAACAAAGUUUAAUUUUGGACCCUUUUGACCUCAAUGUGGACAAAGUUGAUAACGGGGCCCAAAAAUCAAAAAUCUAAAUUCAUGGUUAGAUUCAGCAUAUCAAAGAACCCCAUAUAUUCAAUUUUUGUUAAAAUCAAACAAAGUUUAAUUUUGGACCCCGAUUUGGACCAACUUGAAAACUGGGCCCAUAAUCAAAAAUCUAAAUACAUGUUUAGAUUCAGCAUAUCAAAGAACCCUAAGAAUUCAAUUUUUGUUAAAAUCAAACUAAGUUUAAUUUUGGACCCUUUGGACCUUAAUGUAGACCAAUUUGAAAACGGAACCAAAAAUUAAGAAUCUAAAUACACGGUUAGAUUCGGCAUAUCAAAGAACCCCAAUAAUUCAAUUUUUGAUGAAAUCAAACAAAGUUUAAUUUUGGACCCUUUUGACCUCAAUGUGGACAAAGUUGAUAACGGGGCUCAAAAAUCAAAAAUCUAAAUACAUGGUUAGAUUCAGCAUAUCAAAGAACCCCAUAUAUUCAAUUUUUGUUGAAAUCAAACAAAGUUUAAUUUUGGACCCCGAUUUGGACCAACUUGAAAACUGGGCCCAUAAUCAAAAAUCUAAAUACAUGUUUAGAUUCAGCAUAUCAAAGAACCCUAAGAAUUCAAUUUUUGUUAAAAUCAAACUAAGUUUAAUUUUGGACCCUUUGGACCUUAAUGUAGACCAAUUUGAAAACGGAACCAAAAUUUAAGAAUCUAAAUACACAGUUAGAUUCGGCAUAUCAAAGAACCCCAAUAAUUCAAUUUUUGAUGAAAUCAAACAAAGUUUAAUUUUGGACCCUUUGGACCUCAAUGUGGACCAAUUUAAAAACGGGGCCCAAAAUCCAAAAACUAAAUACACAGUUAGAUUCAGCAUAUUAAAGAACCCCAUGAAAUCAAGAAUAAAACCCCAUUAAAUUGGUCAAGAAAUAAGCAAUUUAUAGGAAGUAUCUUCUUUUGCACAAUCCUGUGCUAUUAAAUAUUUCUUGCUAUUGCGCAAUACUGUACAAUUGACAAUUUCUUGCUAUUGCGCAAUAUUGUGCUAUUGGAUAUUUCUUGCUAUUGCGCAAUACUGUGCAAUUGAAGAUUUCUUGCUAUUGCGCAAUACUGUGCAAUUGAAGAUUUCUUGCUAUUGUGCAAUACUGUGCAAUUGAAAAUUUCUUGCUAUUGCACAAUACUUAUUAUAUAAUAAUUUACACAUCCUGUUUGGUGUGUAUCUCCUACCAUAUCAUUAUUAUUUGAUUUUAAAUAUAAAUCAGAAAUAACCAACUUAAAAUGGAAAAUUUUAAAAGAAACAAAAAAGGAAAAAAAAAUAAA